AUUGAACGCUGGCGGCAGGCCUAACACAUGCAAGUCGAACGAGUGGCGGACGGGUGAGUAAUGACUGGGAAACUGCCUGAUGGAGGGGGAUAACUAAUGGAAACGGUAGCUAAUACCGCAUACCAUCAGAUGUGCCCAGAUGUGAUUAGCUAGUUGGUGGGGUAAAGGCUCACCAAGGGGACGAUCCCUAGAUGGUCUGAGAGGAUGACCGUCCACACUGGAACUGAGACACUGUCCAGCCUCCUACGGGAGGCAGCAGUGGGGAAUAUUUCACAAUGGGCGCAAGCCUGAUGCAGCCAUGCCGCUUGUAUGAAGAAGGCCUUCGGGUUGUAAAGUACUUUCAGCGGGUAGGCGUUACCCGCAGAAGAAGCACCGGCUAACUCCGUGCCAGCAGCCGCGGUAAUAC
rnacentral:rRNA from 1 species